GAUGAACGCUGGCGGCAGGCUUAACACAUGCAAGUCGAGGGGUAUAGGUUUUCGGACCUAGAGACCGGCGCACGGGUGCGUAACGCGUAUGCAAUCUACCUUUCACAGAGGGAUAGCCCAGAGAAAUUUGGAUUAAUACCUCAUAGUAUUAUGAAGUGGCAUCAUUUUAUAAUUAAAGUUCCAACGGUGAAAGAUGAGCAUGCGUCCCAUUAGCUAGAUGGUAAAGUAACGGCUUACCAUGGCGACGAUGGGUAGGGGUCCUGAGAGGGAGUUCCCCCACAGUGAUACUGAGACGCGGACCAGACUCCUACGGGAGGCAGCAGUGAGGAAUAUUGGUCAAUGGAGGAAAGUUUGAACCAGCCAUGCCGCGUGCAGGAUGACGGUCCUAUGGAUUGUAAACUGCUUUUGUACGAGAAGAAACACUCCUUCGUGAAGGAGCUUGACGGUAUCGUAAGAAUAAGGAUCGGCUAACUCCGUGCCAGCAGCCGCCGUAA
rnacentral:rRNA from 1 species